rnacentral:ncRNA from 1 species
AAAAACAAGAGUUUGAUCCUGGCUCAGAACGAAUGCUAGUUAUAUGCUUAGCAAAUGCAAGUUGAAUGUAGCUUGCUUCCCCAUCCAUCCAUGUGGGGGCAGAAGGGAAAGAGGAAUGACCCCCUCCUAGCACGUUCUCACUCACUCAAAUGAUAUGCAAGUGGUGCGUCAGGCAUGGGGCACAACAAGCAAAGUGGAAAACGGGUGCAUAACGCGUGGGAAUCUGUUGAACAGUGCACUCAAAAUCCUUAAUAAUUCAUAAAGCAAGCUAAUUUGCAUUGUUUGACGAGCCUGCGUAGUAUCAGGUAGUUUUUUAGGUAAAGGAUGACCAAUCCAAUGAUGCUUAGUUGGUCAUUUCGGAUAAUCAGCCACACUAGGACUGAGACAUAGACCAGAAUCCCUUGAGGGGAAGUAGUGGGGAAUAUUGGACAAUGGUCUCAUGCUCGAUCCAACAGUAUCACGUGGGUGAAGAAGGGCAUUGUCACUUGUCAAGAUAUUUCAUUGAGUUUCGAUCAUGACAAGACUUGAGGAAGAAGCCUUGGCUAACUCCAUGCCAGCAACCAUGAUAAGAUAGGGGGGAAGUGUUAUUCGAAGUGACAGGGCGUAAAGGGCACGUAGGCAGUGAAAAGGGUGGAAAGUGAAAGUCACCAAAGCACCAACUGGGUUCUUUCUUGACCAUUUCACUUGAGUGAGAUAAGGGAGAGUGG